rnacentral:rRNA from 1 species
UACAGAGGGGGCAAGCGUUGUUCGGAAUUACUGGGCGUAAAGGGCGCGUAGGCGGCCUGUUAAGUCGAACGUGAAAUCCCCGGGCUCAACCCGGGAACUGCGUCCGAUACUGGCAGGCUUGAAUCCGGCAGAGGGGGGUGGAAUGCCACGUGUAGCAGUGAAAUGCGUAGAGAUGUGGCGGAACACCGAUGGCGAAGGCAGCCCCCUGGGCUGAGAUUGACGCUCAGGCACGAAAGCGUGGGGAGCAAACAGG